GCCGAGCAUUGUGGCGCAUGCCUGUAGUCCCAGCUACUUGGGAGGCUGAGGCAGGAGGAUCCCUUGAGCCCAGGAGUUUGAGGUUGCUGUGAGCUAGGCUGAUGCCAUGGCACUCUAGCCCUGGCAAAAAGUGAGAUUCUGUUUCAAAAAAAGAAGGAGAGAGAUGAGUCUUACUCUGUCUAGGCUGGAGUGUAGCAUUCUCAUCAUAGCUCACUGCAACUUCAAAUUCAUGCACUCAAGUGAUCCUCUUGCCUCA
rnacentral:sRNA from 1 species